ensembl:snRNA U6 U6 spliceosomal RNA
GUGCUUGUUUUGGCAGCACUUACACCUAAGUUGGAAUGAUACAGAGAAGUUUAGCAUGGCCCCUGCGCAAGGAUGACAUGCAAAUUCAUGAAACAUUCUGUAUUUUA